UACGUAGGGUGCGAGCGUUGUCCGGAAUUAUUGGGCGUAAAGGGCUCGUAGGCGGUUUGUCGCGUCGGGAGUGAAAUCCACUGGCUUAACUGGUGGCUUGCUUUCGAUACGGGCAGACUGGAGGUAUGCAGGGGAGAACGGAAUUCCUGGUGUAGCGGUGAAAUGCGCAGAUAUCAGGAGGAACACCGGUGGCGAAGGCGGCGACCUGGGUCGAUACUGACGCUGAGGUGCGAAAGCGUGGGGAGCAAACAGG
rnacentral:rRNA from 1 species